rnacentral:sRNA from 1 species
UUUUCCAAUUUGCCGACUUGAUGUCCGA